rnacentral:rRNA from 1 species
AGCGAACGCUGGCGGCAGGCCUAACACAUGCAAGUCGAACGGACCCUUCGGGGUUAGUGGCGGACGGGUGAGUAACACGUGGGAACGUGCCCUUUGGUUCGGAACAACUCAGGGAAACUUGAGCUAAUACCGAAUGUGCCCUUUGGGGGAAAGAUUUAUCGCCAUUGGAGCGGCCCGCGUCUGAUUAGCUAGUUGGUGGGGUAAUGGCCUACCAAGGCUACGAUCAGUAGCUGGUCUGAGAGGAUGAUCAGCCACAUUGGGACUGAGACACGGCCCAAACUCCUACGGGAGGCAGCAGUGGGGAAUCUUGCGCAAUGGGCGAAAGCCUGACGCAGCCAUGCCGCGUGAAUGAUGAAGGUCUUAGGAUUGUAAAAUUCUUUCACCGGGGACGAUAAUGACGGUACCCGGAGAAGAAGCCCCGGCUAACUUCGUGCCAGCCGCCGCCGUAAAAC